UACAGCGGAGCCAAGCGUUGUCCGGAUUGACUGGGCGUAAAGCGCACGCAGGCGGAUGCGCGCGUGGGGUGUGAAAUCUGGCCGCUUAACGGCCAGGCGCCAUCCCAUACGGCGCGUCUGGAGUGAUGCAGAGGUCGAUGGAAUUGCCGGUGUAGUGGUGAAAUGCGUAGAGAUCGGCAGGAACACCCAGGGGGAAACCAGUCGACUGGGCAUCUACUGACGCUGAGGUGCGAGAGCGUGGGGAGCGAACCGG
rnacentral:rRNA from 1 species